UACAAAUUUGCAAGAUUGAAAGGGAAAUCAAGGCCUAAUAACCUGCAUGAACUCGAUUCUCAAGUAAUCUAAGCUUGUUUUGCAAAGAGGCGUCAAGGAAGAAGGAUCAAAUCAAGUGAAGCAUCAAGGUGAUCACGACCGAGGUAAAUCCCAUGUCUAGUUAUCAAGCUUGCCCGGAAUCGAACACACCUCAAGCCCGUCAAGCGCUCCGCAUUUUGUAUAAAGUCGAUAUCAAAUUACCUAGUUACUUAUGUUUAUGUUUUGUACUUAAACUAGUUGGUCAUGGUUGACUUUUGAAAAGUUGUCGUAGGCGCGUACAUACUUAAUGGUUU